AACAGCUAUGUUUCUCCUCCAGUUUGAAGGUUAAUUUAUUGUCCGAUUUGAAGCUAUAAACUUGAAGGUUCACACUAAUCAAGCUUCAAGUUUAAGAUAUGCCUUUAUGAUUCCCAUCAUCUCACUUCCGGGAAACCUACCAAGACAACCUCUAGCAGCUGCUAUUUCACUAAACUUGUCAACCAAAUCACCAGAAAAAAACUGAAGCUUGUUAUUUUUGUCUUCUUCAAUCCUUGUACCAGUAUCUACGUCUUCACCAGCUUGGAUGGAUGGAAGGGGAAAUGGAUCAAGAGAAAUACCUGAGAGGACAGAUUCGCCACCCAAAGCACUCACAAAGUCUUUUAAACUACAUAAUGCAAAUGGCACUGGUUCAAAGCUGUGAUCUCCAUAUUCUACCGGUGUGGAGUGGUCUCCAGUGACACAAAGGUAAUAGCUGAAUUUCCCAGUUGAUUCCGCCUCCCAAAGAAGCCUAGCUAAUUGACCUAUAGCACAGUCGACAGCUUCCAGUCCCUUCACUUUGAACACACUUGCUUUAUCAUGACCUGCAUCAUCAAUUGCCUUAAUGUGGAGGAAUCCAAAAUCAUAGCCAUCAAGUCGACCGGGCUUGUGCUCAUCUUCCCCAGGCACAAAAACAUUGGGACAAGAUUGCAGAGGUGCUGAGAGUGCCCUGGCUAUGGCAGUUGCUUUUGAUGUUAAUAAUGUCCUAUAGUCUCCUGUCGCUCCAGGAGCUUCCAGAAUAUCAAUCCCGAGCGACAAACCCAAGCCAGCAAUAAUCUUGGUAGGAGCUACCAUGCACGGCCAGAGACCAUGUAUCUUUUCAAAUGGAGCAACCUCAAUUCUAAUGCCGCAUCCUCGUAAAAGAACCAGAUUUGCUACAUUCUUUCCUUCUGCUGCCCGUUUUGCAUUCAAUGGAUGGGCAAGCAAAAUACGUGAAAUUUCUUUAGACAGUUCAUUGACAACUGCAGCUGUGUGCUUUGCUUCAUCUGUAUCAUCAAGAGGGUUCGCUUGUAAAAGUAAGCGGUUGUCUUUCAAUGGAUCAGUUCCCGAUAUAUUUCCACUUAACUUUGGUCCCUUGAUGACAACUCCACAUCUAUGCUCCGUAGCAUACCUGACUCUAACUUCAUAUUCAGGAAAAGAAGGCAACUUCAUUCCAUCCAAUGCUGCACAAAGAAUCGGCCCUUCUUCUUCAAAAUGCCUAUCAGCCCUCCGGCUAACAACUAUCCCGGUUGCCUCAUCCAGCGUAGCAAAGUUUGAAAUCUCGAUGAUCAAUCGGGCGCAGAGCAAUUCACAGCACAAAAGAUUGGGCUG
rnacentral:misc_RNA from 1 species